GGGGCCGCACCCUCCGCACCAGCACCUGGGGUCGCCCCCGGCCCCAGCAGCCCUGAGGCACCGGCCUCCCAGGGGUGCCACCGCGGACGCGAUCGUUGGCGAAGCACUCGGGACAGUCGUACUGAAGUUGCUCCUCACCCCACACUAGAACGGCCCCAUCCCUGUGAUGCCCCAGAGUUGGGGGGGGCUUGCUCCCCCUCCAAGGAGGGUGCCACCACCUGGGCCUGAGAGCGAGGUGUUAAAGCUUCUGGAAGGUAAGGCCGCCCCUGGGCCUGGGGGUGGGCAUGGGCGUUCCUCCUGCCGGCCUGACCUGCACCCCAGCAGAGUCCUGGGUCCUGCCCUCCCCACUCCCCCGCGCCCCUGAGGCAGAGCAGCAGCCCUGGACCAGUC